UCUUCACAAAAAAAAAUAGAAUUUUAUAUCUUUAUGUUUGAAGCCUGAAAUGUGGCAAGAGGUUGACCAGUUCCAGGGGGUCCGAGUACUUUAUGGUUUGUAAUUCAUUUCACCUUUUAUUCAUGGUUGUUUCUAUUAUUUAUGUAUCCUUCCUAAUAUUAUUUCACUAGAGGCACAUCUUUACCAUGUCCUGCCCAAUUGAUCUCAUUGACUCCCAUUAUAACCACAUAUUUCUGUCGUAAAACAGUAAACGCUUUGUUACUUGGUAGAAACGACUCACCUCCACCAUGUUUAUAGUGGUGAGUCGGUCAAUAAGACCGAUACAAGUCUGCUUAGAAAUUGAGUUUUGUCUGUGAAAGAAGCUCUAAAAAUUACUUUAACCCAGUAGGCCCCUUGGGGGACCAAACAUGUGCUUUCUGCUUGUUUUUUUUUUUUUUUACAUUCUCAAUAUUUUAGACAGUUUAAAGGUCAGUUCUAUAAAACUUGGCCAGGAUUUGCUUUUAACUUUUAUUUUUUGUUUGUUUAUCCUUUUGAUUGCAAGGUAUGUAGAGCAAGAGCUAUGGAUUUAGCAUACAUUCUUUAUAUUUGUUACCAAUUUGGUCCCAUUGACUCUCAUUAUGACCAAAUAUUUUUGAUGCAUUGUAAUCUUGGCAUUUUAUAAUACCUUUCCCAUGAGCACCAAAAUAAUCUAUGACUCUACCUUCAUAAUACAUAAUAAUAAUUCAUAAUAAUACUCAAAUUUCUACAAACAAAUACGGAGUAUGUGUAGAAUUUGGUGGAUAGAGAUUAAUACAAUUUGGAAAGAGGCUGUAACUUAACAAAAUAUGAAGCGCUGUGAAUACUUUCCUGAUGCUCUGUUCCAGAAAGCAGGUGUUGGAUGAUGCUGUGAUCAAUCUUAUUGUAAAAGAUUCACAGCCCUUUACUGUUGUGGAAGACGAGGCGUUCAGGGAACUUGUUCAUUUGCUGGAUCCCUCCUAUGUUCUCCCUACUAGAAAAGGCAUUAAAGAAGAUGGUGGAGGAAAAAUAUGAAAAAAGCAAAAGGCCAAAGAGGACAUGCAGAAGAUGUCUUCUGUGAGCCUGACAGCAGAUAUGUAGACAUCAAUAAAUAUGGAGGUGUACCUGGCAAUAACAUGCCACUUCGUUGAUGCAGAUGACAAACUGGGCAUUGUGCUGCUUGGAGUUGAACAUUUCCCUCAGAGUCACACAUCCGAAAAUCUGGCAAGGGUAGUUCAUACCCACAUGGAGGAGUGGGGAAUAACUAAUGAGGUUACUUGCCUAGUCACUGAUGCUGCAUCAAACAUGGUUGCAUGUGUUAAGGCCUUAAGGAUCAGGUUCUCUGUGUGCAUUGCUCAUGCACUGAAUUUGUUGGUAAGAAAAUCAUUUGACCAGGUCCCUGUUCUCUGUGACGUUCGGAAAAAUGGCAACGAAUUGUAACAUAUUUUCACUCAACCACCAAAGGUAAAGAAAAGCUAGAAGUAGUACAGAUACAGAUAGGAAGACAGUCACAAAAGCUUGUCACUGAUGUGGACACAAGCUGGAAUAGCAUAACCUCACUAUCUUGUCAGGAGUAUCAAACAAUUGAGGAGUGCUUACCUGUAUUAUUCCCUUUUUACCAGACAACAUUAGAGCUCCCACAAGAGAAAAGUGUCUCAAUCUCAAAGAUAACCCUUAAUGAACAUUCUGCACCAUGCAGUACUUGCAAAAUCAGUAAAUAUCACCAGUGUUUCUAAACUUCUUUCAGACAACCUUUUAAGACAUGUCAGAGAACAUGUGGCAAGUAUAGAAUCCCUAAGCAUAAUGACAGUGGCCACAUUACUUGACCCCAGGUUUAAAACUCUUGGCUUUCUCAGCCAAAACAAGGUACAAGAGGCAGUACGGCGGCUAAAAUCUGAAUAUACGGCCCUAAUAGCCAGCAGUGAAGCUUCACUUCCACAUCCAUCAGAUGCAGGAGAAGGCACCAACAACUCUAGUGAACUGUGGUGUCUGCUAGAUGAAACAGUGGACCAGAAGAGACAAAGCUUCAAUACCACAGCAGAUGCCAUACCAGAGGUGGAGCAAUACCUGGCAGAACAUAAAAAUCAUAUCACAUAAAAGAAGACUAUUACCACAGAUGUCAGCAUAUUAGCAGAAUUAUUUUGGGUAUAAAUCAUUUUAAGAACUAAAAAUAAAUGACACAUGGGUUUGAAAAAAAACUUUAUUGUGACAAUACUGCAAACACUGCAAUAUUCUGAUAUUUGAAGUAUGAAGGCUGU